AUACGUAGGGGGCGAGCGUUAUCCGGAAUUAUUGGGCGUAAAGAGUACGUAGGCGGUUCUGUAAGCGUGAGGUGAAAGCCCGGGGCUUAACUCCGGUAAGCCUUUCGAACUGCAGGACUUGAGUGCUGGAGGGGAAAGUGGAAUUCCUAGUGUAGCGGUGAAAUGCGUAGAUAUUAGGAGGAACACCAGUGGCGAAGGCGACUUUCUGGACAGUAACUGACGCUGAGGUACGAAAGCGUGGGGAGCAAACAGGAUUAGAUACCCUGGUAGUCCACGCUGUAAACGAUGAGCACUAGGUGUCGGGCUAGCAAUAGUUCGGUGCCGCAGUUAACGCAAUAAGUGCUCCGCCUGGGGAGUACGCACGCAAGUGUGAAACUCAAAGGAAUUGACGGGG
rnacentral:rRNA from 1 species